rnacentral:pre_miRNA from 1 species
GUGUGAAUCACCAGCAGGUCCUGCUGACCUGCAGAUUCUGAUUCAGUAGAUUUUGAACAGGACCUGAGAGUCUGCACUUCCAACAAGAUCCCAAGAGAUGCUGAU